rnacentral:rRNA from 1 species
GUCAACAAAGAGAGGCAAAACCGCGAGGUGGAGCAAAUCUCAAAAAGCCGUCCCAGUUCGGAAUGCAGGCUGCAACCCGCCUGAAUGAAGUUGGAAUCGCUAGUAAUCGCGGAUCAGCAUGCCGCGGUGAAUACGUUCCCGGGCCUUGUACACACCGCCCGUCACACCAUGAGAGUCGGGAACACCCGAAGUCCGUAGCCUAACUGCAAAGAGGGCGCGGCCGAAGGUGGGUUCGAUAAUUGGGGUGAAGUCGUAACAAGGUAGCCGUUCGAGAACGAGCGGCUGGAUCACCUCCUUUCUAAGGAGA